rnacentral:rRNA from 1 species
CAGCGCCACGAGUGGUAACCGCGAUUAUUGGGCCUAAAGCGUCCGUAGCCGGUCCUGUAAAUCCUUUGUGAAAUUGAUCGGCUUAACCGAUCAGCGUGCAAGGGACACUGCAGGACUCGAGACCGGGAGGAGUCAGAAGUAUUCCAGGGGGAGCGGUAAAAUGUUAUAAUCCCUGGAGGACUACCUGUGGCGAAGGCGUCUGACCAGAACGGAUCUGACGGUGAGGGACGAAAGCUAGGGGAGCGAACCGGAUUAGAUACCCGCGUAGUCC